UUGUAGGAUUUAUUUGUUAUUCGCCGCAGAACGUCGACCGUUACUUACUUCUUGAAGGCAGAGAGAUGUUUUUAUCCCGUAUUUAUGGAUUUCUGUCUCAGGGAUGAAGAUGUAACACAGGUAUCAAUACAAGUAAUUAAGUUCGUCCUCGCAGGAAAAAGAAAGUGUACUACCUUCAGUCCAAAGAGGAACUCCAGGGGAGUAUGCGGGGGGCAUAGGUUGCCUCUUUUGUUAUCUUGUUUUGGACGGUGUCAGUCGUUUUGGGCAGCAAGGCUGACACUGAUAAUGAAGUCACCUCCUCGUCCAGGUGGGGUACUCACCCCAGUCCUCCGGUUGUCAAUUACUGUACGCUCAUGGGGACACGAGAGAUUAAGAGACACGAAGAAGCAAAGAACGGGAAGGACUUCAGUCCUCGAGCUGCCCGACGUUUCAGCAACGGUGGUGUGAUGGAGUUUGAUGUGUCCACUCGCUUUGAGAUGGUAAUGAUAAAGGAGACAGGGUAACGAAGAAUCAUGUCUCAUUGCUGGAAGAAUCACGAAAAGUUUAUGUUUGCCUCAACACUAAUUGGCACGAUUCAAAGCCCUGUACACGGAUUGAUGGUUAGCGUGACGUUAAUAAAGUAAAGAUGAAGGAGUGAACAAAGAAAGAUUUAGACAAUCACUGGGAGUGGCUCAGUUAGAGCAUCGGGAAGGAUGAUGAGAAGCGGGUCACACGUCGCAGUUCAAUGCAGAAGCAACAUGGAAGGGAGUGAUGAAAAAAUGAGAAAAUGGCUCUGACCAAAGCUGUCUCCUACUCCAAUGUUUGAAAAGUUCUUUCUGUGCUGUCUCUUAUUUGAUUGUUCGAUUGUUUUUUGCAACUUUACUGUUUUUGCCAAAAUGGGCAAAGAAGGGAAAAUACACCAACUUAAUUGGACUCCGGAGGUAUUUUGUAAGAAUCUGGUGAGUGGGUGAUUUGCGGCAAAGCUUGGUGUUAGUCGCGUAAGGGCAUCAUUAAUCAUUGGGAUCUUGCUAUGUGGUUAGUU